rnacentral:rRNA from 1 species
AUUGAACGCUGGCGGCAGGCCUAACACAUGCAAGUCGAGCGGUAACAGAGAUUAGCUUGCUAAUCUGCUGACGAGCGGCGGACGGGUGAGUAAUGCAUAGGAAGUUGCCCAGUAGAGGGGGAUACCAGUUGGAAACGACUGUUAAUACCGCAUGAUCUCUUUGGAGCAAAGCAGGGGACCUUCGGGCCUUGCGCUACUGGAUACGCCUAUGUGGGAUUAGCUAGUUGGUGAGGUAAUGGCUCACCAAGGCGACGAUCCCUAGCUGGUCUGAGAGGAUGAUCAGCCACACUGGGACUGAGACACGGCCCAGACUCCUACGGGAGGCAGCAGUGGGGAAUAUUGCACAAUGGGCGAAAGCCUGAUGCAGCCAUGCCGCGUGUAUGAAGAAGGCCUUCGGGUUGUAAAGUACUUUCAGUUGUGAGGAAGGUUGUGUAGUUAAUAGCUGCAUAAUUUGACGUUAGCAACAGAAGAAGCACCGGCUAACUCCGUG